GGACUACACGGGUAUCUAAUCCUGUUUGCUCCCCUAGCUUUCGUGCCUCAGUGUCAGGUGUCGUCCAGAGACUCGCCUUCGCCACUGGUGUUCCUCUCGAUAUCUACGCAUUUCACUGCUACACCGAGAAUUCCAGUCUCCCCUCCGACCCUCCAGCCAGAUAGUAUUCAAUGACUUUUCGGAGUUAAGCUCCGAGCUUUCACACCAAACUUACCUGGCCACCUACGCACCCUUUACGCCCAGUGAAUCCGAACAACGCUUGGGACCUCUGUAUUACCGCGGCUGCUGGCAC
rnacentral:rRNA from 1 species